rnacentral:rRNA from 1 species
AGAGUUUGAUCCUGGCUUAGGAUGAACGCUGGCGGCGUGCCUAAUACAUGCAAGUCGAGCGAACAGAUAAGGAGCUUGCUCCUUUGACGUUAGCGGCGGACGGGUGAGUAACACGUGGGUAACCUACCUAUAAGACUGGAAUAACUCCGGGAAACCGGGGCUAAUGCCGGAUAAUAUUUAGAACCGCAUGGUUCUAAAGUGAAAGAUGGUUUUGCUAUCACUUAUAGAUGGACCCGCGCCGUAUUAGCUAGUUGGUGGGGUAAUGGCUUACCAAGGCAACGAUACGUAGCCGACCUGAGAGGGUGAUCGGCCACACUGGAACUGAGACACGGUCCAGACUCCUACGGGAGGCAGCAGUAGGGAAUCUUCCGCAAUGGGCGAAAGCCUGACGGAGCAACGCCGCGUGAGUGAUGAAGGUCUUCGGAUCGUAAAACUCUGUUAUUAGGGAAGAACAAAUGUGUAAGUAACUGUGCACGUCUUGACGGUACCUAAUCAGAAAGCCACGGCUAACUACGUGCCAGCAGCCGC